GAUGAACGCUGGCGGUAUGCUUAACACAUGCAAGUCGAACCGACUCUUCGGAGUUAGUGGCGGACGGGUGAGUAACGCGUGAGAAUCUGGCUUUGGGUUCGGGACAACCACUGGAAACGGUGGCUAAUACCGGAUGUGCCGAGAGGUAAAAGAGAAAUUGCCUGAAGAUGAGCUCGCGUCUGAUUAGUUAGUUGGUGAGGUAAAGGCUCACCAAGGCAGCGAUCAGUAGCUGGUCUGAGAGGAUGACCAGCCACACUGGGACUGAGACACGGCCCAGACUCCUACGGGAGGCAGCAGUGGGGAAUUUUCCGCAAUGGGCGAAAGCCUGACGGAGCAAUACCGCGUGAGGGAAGAAGGCUCUUGGGUUGUAAACCUCUUUUCUUAGGGAAGAACAAAGUGACGGUACCUAAGGAAUCAGCAUCGGCUAACUCCGUG
rnacentral:rRNA from 1 species